AGUUAAAAACUCAAUGAAAGUAUUAUAUUUUGAAAAUAUAACAAAAAGGUUAAAAUCCUUUAUUAACUU
rnacentral:tRNA from 1 species